rnacentral:rRNA from 1 species
UACGUAGGGGGCGAGCGUUGUCCGGAUUUAUUGGGCGUAAAGAGCUCGUAGGCGGUUUGGUAAGUUGGAUGUGAAAUCUCCAGGCUCAACUUGGAGGGGUCAUUCGAUACUGCCAUGACUAGAAUUCGGUAGGGGAGACUGGAAUUCCUGGUGUAGCGGUGAAAUGCGCAGAUAUCAGGAGGAACACCAGUGGCGAAGGCGGCUCACUGGCUCGAUACUGACGCUGAGGUGCGAAAGCGUGGGGAGCAAACAGG